rnacentral:rRNA from 1 species
AUCGAACGCUGGCGGCAGGCCUAACACAUGCAAGUCGAACGAGUGGCGGACGGGUGAGUAAUGCCCGGGAAACAGCCUGAUGGAGGGGGAUAACUACUGGAGACGGUAGCUAAUACCGCAUCCCAUCAGAUUUGCACCGAUGGGAUUAGCUGGGAGGUGGGGUAACGGCGCACAUAGGCGACGAUCCCGAGCUGGUCUGAGAGGAUGACCAGCACAACUGGAACUGGGCAACGGCCCAGACUCCGACGGGAGGAAGCAGUGGGAAACUUUGCACAAUGAGGGCAAGCCUGCUGCAGCAAUGCCGCGUGUAUGAAGAAGGCCUUGGGUUUUUAAGGUACUUUCAGCGGGGAGGCGUUACCCGAAGAAGAAGCACCGGCUAACUCCGUGCCAGCAGCCGCGGUAAUUC